rnacentral:rRNA from 1 species
UACGUAGGGUGCAAGCGUUAAUCGGAAUUACUGGGCGUAAAGCGUGCGCAGGCGGUUUUGUAAGUCUGUCGUGAAAUCCCCCGGGCUCAACCUGGGAAUUGCGAUGGAGACUGCAAGGCUAGAAUCUGGCAGAGGGGGGGUAGAAUUCCACGUGUAGCAGUGAAAUGCGUAGAUAUCAGGAGGAACACCGGUGGUGUAGACGGCUUUCUGGACCGUAACUGACGCUGAGAACACGAAAAGCCGUGGGGGAGCAAACAGG